GGCGGCGUAGCUCAGUUGGUAGAGCACACGGCUCAUAUCCGUUAGGUCAGGGGUCCGAGUCCCUUCGCCGCUA
rfam:Spirochaeta coccoides DSM 17374, complete genome.